AUGGGAGAAAAAAUAAAAACUAAGAUUCAUCAUGUUCUGGUACAAACACCGAAUGAUAAAUGUACAUGUAUGUUAUACCUAAAAUGUACCAAUAAAUAUAUAUAUAAAUAAAUAAAUAAACUGAGUCUCUCCCAGCUAUCAGGGAAGUGAUGAAGAAGAGUGGCAAAGGAGACAGGCUGGACUGGGAAGACACAUGAGAAUGUACACAGUAGCCGGAGAAAUUUAAUAAGUGCUGGAAUUGUUUGGAUUUAUGAGUCUUAGACUCUUACUUGCUAUCAGCAAUUCUGCAAAGAGUUGAACCAUGAAACAUAAAGAGAAGAAAAAACACCAGAAGAAACUCUUAAAAUGACCUGUGAAGAAGUCAAGGGGUACAAGAGGAAAGAUGGAUUUACAAGAUGUUCUGCAGGGUAGAGCAAGGUACUGGCCCAUACUCAAGGCCACAAAGUGGCGGACAGUUCUUCCUCAAUCUCAGGGGACUUCUCCUAUGAAGACAAAUGCUUGGAUGCAGAACUGCACGACUCUCCAGAGGAUACCGCUGAGACACAUGAGAUGGUCCCAAGUUCAAAUCUGGAUGCAGGAGAGAAUUUCUCCAUCUCAGAACAUUUGCUGUGGAUCUCUUCUUCAAGCAAGUGCAUUCCUAUGGAGCAGGAUGGUCCUGGAUCCUCCAAGAGGCUUUUAAAUCAAGAUUUGAUGGAGAGGGAGAAUUUCUCCUUCAUGGAACGUUCCCAUUUACCUUUCUCCUUGGCCAAUAACCCCUCAGAGUCUGCAACAUCUACUGAAAAGAAAAGAGUCCUGAAUGUUUACUAUAAGCCUGUCCCAAUGAAAAGGGGUAGGGCUUCCCUGGGGGAUACAGAAGAAGAUUUGGAGUCCCCCGCAAAGAGGACAAGAAGAGCAAAAAUCACCUUUCCUGAGAAGAUCCCUUCAAAAGCCAGCCUCUCUUCUGUGUGCCUAAGAGAUGCCCUAACUGACAGUGAAAAUGGCUUGUACUGGGAAGGCCAAGAGGAAAGGGAAGAGGCUGAGAAGCCGCCUGAGCAUCUGGCCCGGGAUUUGGUGCUGGAGGACCUGUAUAGUGGCUUCAGGUGCAUGGGCAGCUGCCAGGUCUUCCCCAAUAUGCGGAUGCUUAAGAAACACCUGAAGGAUGGGGUUGAGGGUGGUGCUUCAUGCCUUAGUCUUCCAUUUGCCAAACUAAGGAACAAAACGAAGCAAAGCAAGAGAAUCACAGAGGGGGAGAAUGGGAAUAUGACAACAUCUG
ensembl:lncRNA